GACGAACGCUGGCGGCGUGCUUAACACAUGCAAGUCGAACGGAAAGGCCCUGCUUGCAGGGUACUCGAGUGGCGAACGGGUGAGUAACACGUGGGUGAUCUGCCCUGCACUUCGGGAUAAGCCUGGGCAACUGGGUCUAAUACCGGAUAGGAGCCAUUUUUAGUGUGAUGGUUGGAAAGUUUUUUCGGUGUAGGAUGAGCUCGCGGCCUAUCAGCUUGUUGGUGGGGUAAUGGCCUACCAAGGCGGCGACGGGUAGCCGGCCUGAGAGGGUGGACGGCCACAUUGGGACUGAGAGACGGCCCAGACUCCGACGGGAGGCAGCAGUGGGGAAUAUUGAACAAUGGGCGCAAGCCUGAUGCAGCGACGCCGCGUGGGGGAUGACGGCCUUAGGGUUGUAAACUCCUUUCGCUAGGGACGAAGCUUUUUGUGACGGUACCUAGAUAAGAAGCACCGGCUAACUACGUG
rnacentral:rRNA from 1 species